GGUCUAGCUACAUGUACCAGCGGCUAGGAGAAGACUGCUGGCUAGACUCGUCAGCGCUGGGGAUGGAAUAGCGCCGGAAGACGAGCCGCCAUACAACAACGAAGACAUCACCGUAUGCUUUGCCGACAUCAAAAGGUACCCACUCUCAGACCGGGACGCCGCGUGGUUGGUGUCCCGUAGGAUACCAGUAUGUGCACCCGUACUACUAAGCUCGUAUCUCACCGACGAACACCCACCGAACCCCGUCGAACACUGCUUACCCGACUUCAGGCCAAAGUAGAACUUGUGACGAUGUUUUAAGGUAACAAUUUCUGUAACAUUUGAUUUUACAGUAAUGUAGACUACGGAUAAAAUAUGGACCGUAUCGUGCAAAAAUAAGGUUGAUUUUAAAAUUUUUCUCAUGGUUUAUCACUUUAUUUAUUUGGUUAGUUCAAGUGAUAAAACUUUACAUGUAAAAGUUGGAUGAAACACACAAGAAUUGGUAUUCGGUCAUUAACUUCAUAAAAAUCCGCGGACCGCAAAACUUUGGUUGACCAUUUGCGAUCUAGUGUGGUAUUUAUUUUGGGUACUGGAAAGAAUAUUCUGCUGUCAGUUUAAAACUUUAAGCAAUCAAAAUAUUAAGGCCAGAAGUAUUGAUUUGUACACACUUGAAAAUAGAUUUUAAUUCAACGAAUGACAAUAAGGACAAUAAUCAGGACACUUACUUUGAAUCCAGUUUAAAACGUUUCGUUUCCACUUUUGAUUAUAGAACUUUUAAGAGACCAUUUUAAUUUGUACGGUACUUUUAACUUUAAUUGGGCCUGUAUUUGACAAUCAAUUUAUAUCAUUAUUUUGAAUGAAAAAGUACAGUUGUCUAAUUUUAUAAUUUUACUUAAAAUAAUGGACAAAUAUUUAAAGAUUUUUUUAUUGUACAGAAAACUAUUCCUCAAUAUGAAAUAUUAUACCAAAAGUAUUUUGUACUUUAUGUUUUGCUCGUAAAUAUCAAAGUCAAUUGACGUAGUUUCCAAUUUUGCGGUACGUUGAUGCGCUUGCGACUGUACAUUUUAACACAUUCAAAAUUACGAUAUAUUUGAAGUCUGAAUAUCCUUAUUGAUUAUGCUUAAUUCAUAUAGUUGUUGCCCUUUUUAAUGUUUAAGUUUUCUUGCAGUAAGAUCUAUAAGAACGCCUAUUUUAAGAGAACCCUGAUCUUUACUGUACAGGCAAAAAGUCUAUUGUUGUUUGACUGUAACUACGUUUAACUGAUUGUGUAUAUUAUUAA